rnacentral:rRNA from 1 species
GACGAACGCUGGCGGCGUGCUUAACACAUGCAAGUCGAACGGAAAGGCCCUGCUUUUGUGGGGUGCUCGAGUGGCGAACGGGUGAGUAACACGUGAGUAACCUGCCCUUGACUUUGGGAUAACUUCAGGAAACUGGGGCUAAUACCGGAUAGGAGCUCCUGCUGCAUGGUGGGGGUUGGAAAGUUUCGGCGGUUGGGGAUGGACUCGCGGCUUAUCAGCUUGUUGGUGGGGUAGUGGCUUACCAAGGCUUUGACGGGUAGCCGGCCUGAGAGGGUGACCGGCAAAAUUGGGAGUGAGAUAAGGCCCAGACUCAUAGGGGGGGGAGCAGGGGGGAAAAUUGCAAAAGGGGGGGAAGCCGGAGGCAGAAACGCCGGGGGGGGGAGGAGGGCCUUGGGGUUGUAAACCGCUUUGGCGUGGGAAGAAGGGGGGGUGACGGUAAGGGGUAAAAAAGCACCGGCUAACUACGG